rnacentral:rRNA from 1 species
GACGAACGCUGGCGGCGUGCUUAACACAUGCCAGUCGAACGGAAAGGCCCUGCUUUUGUGGGGUGCUCGAGUGGCGAACGGGUGAGUAACACGUGAGUAACCUGCCCUUGACUUUGGGAUAACUUCAGGAAACUGGGGCUAAUACCGGAUAGGAGCUCCUGCUGCAUGGUGGGGGUUGGAACGUUUCGGCGGUUGGGGAUGGACUCGCGGCUUAUCAGCUUGUUGGUGGGGUAGUGGCUUACCAAGGCUUUGACGGGUAGCCGGCCUGAGAGGGUGACCGGCCACAUGGGGACUGAGAUACGGCCCAGACUCCUACGGGAGGCAGCAGGGGGGAAUAUUGCACAAUGGGCGGAAGCCUGAUGCAGCAACGCCGCGUGCGGGAUGACGGCCUUCGGGUUGUAAACCGCUUUCGCCUGUGACGAAGCGUGAGUGACGGUAAUGGGUAAAGAAGCACCGGCUAACUACGUG